rnacentral:lncRNA from 1 species
UUUGUAUGUAACUUCUUCAUAAAUGACAAAACUUUGUCUUCUCAGCUCAAUGACUAGACUACCCUACAAGUUUUUGUACAAAGAUCACAUGCAGAAUUACCAAAUAAGAUGGAAUUUCGGACAUGAAACAAGCAGGGCAAAGGAGCAGCAGGUCUCCAGGGGAGAGCUCUUCCGUCAACACAAGGAGCAGGGCAGGGGAGCAACAUCAGGACUGGCAGAGCAGUAGCACGAGUAGAUAGAAGCAGCAGCACGG